UUUUUUUUUUUUUUUUGAUCCCUCCUUAGCUUUACGCGCUCAGAAACCAAAUUAAACCCCCUCCCUUUGUAACAGGGGGGCAGUGACAAAAGCAAGAAUGCACGAAGCCAGCUUGAGACCAUCACGUCCUGCCCUCCGCCAUUUAUCGCCCUGAUUGAAUUUUGUUUUUAUCUGUCCCUGUUGCUUGUGUUGGGUUGAGGGUGGAGCCUCCUGGGGGGCACUGGCCACUGAGCCCCCUUGGAGAAGUCAGAGGGGAGUGGAGAAGGUCACUGUCCGACCUGGCUUCUGGGGACAGUGGCUGGUCCCCAGAGGUCCUGAGGGCGGAGGGGGGAGUGGGCAGGGUCUCCUCAGGUGUCAGGAGGGUGCUCGGAGGCCACAGGAGGGGGCUUCCGGCUGGCCCAAGGCUGGCCAGAGGGGAAGGGGUUGCAGGUGUGUAAACAGAGGAUUCCAUCAGGCUGGUGCAGGGUGGCCGCCUUCCGCACACUUGAGGAGCCCUCCGCUCUCCCUCGGUGGCAUCUUGCCCGCCCCUCAGCACCCUGCCUUGUCUCCAGGAGGUCCGAAGCUCUGUAGGACCUCCUGGGGGCAAGGUGGGGUGAGGUCGGAGAGUAGGGAGGUCAGGCAGGUCUGAGCCCACAGAGCAGGAGAGCUGCCAGGUCUGCCCAUCGACCAGGUUGCUGGGGCCCCGGAGCCCGCGGGUCUGGCGAUGCCACAGCCUAGGGCUGUGGCAGGGACUCGGCGUCUGGGAGGCUUACCUCGCCCCCACUUGUGCCCCCAGCUCAGCCCCCCUGCACGCAGCCCGACUAGAAGUCUAGAGGCCCGAGGCUUCUGGGUCCUGGCGACGGGGCUGGCAUGACCCCGGGGGUCGUCCAUGCCAGCCCACCUCAGUCGCAGAGGGUCCCUCGGCAAGUGCCCUGAGAGUGGGCCAUUCGGAACAUUGGACAGAAGCCCAAAGAGCCAAAUUGUCACAAUUGGAGAACCCACAUUGGCCUGAGAUCCAAAACACUUCGAGGCACCCCAAAUUACCUGCCCAUUCGUCGGGACGCCCACCCACCCAGUGUUACAUUCGGCCUCACCAGAGUGGGUGUCCCCGGGGCACCUGCCGACGGACCCCUUGCGCCCCCAGGUUUGCAGCUCUCCCCUGGGCCACUAACCAUCCUGGCCCGGCUGCCUGCCUGACCUCCGUGCCUGGUCGUGGCUCUCCAUCUUAUCUCCUCCCCGUGUCCCCAAUGUCUUCAGCGGGGGCCCCCUCUUGGGUCCCCUCCUCUGCCAUCAACUGAAGACCCCCACGCCAAACACUGAAUGUCACCUGUACCUGCCGCCUCAGUCCACCUUGCGGCCCGUGUUUGACUCAACUCAGCUCUUUUAACGCUAAUAUUUCUGGCAAAAUCCCAUGCUUGGGUUUUUGUCACUAACCUGUUAACGCUUGCAAUCCCAAUAAAGCAUUGAAA
rnacentral:lncRNA from 1 species